AAACCCAGCGAAACCCAUUUUUCAAUCCACUCUCUGAACAAUCAACGAAACACAUUUUUCAAUCCACUCCCUGAACAAUCAACGAAACCCAACGAAACUCAGCAAUGGUGACGACAACGAAGCUCUCAGUUCCUUUCACGAAGCUAAUGCUUGUACCCAACUUCCCGUGACGACAUUGGUAGAGAAACAAAGCUCUCUUCUUCUCCAACAUCGCACCGCUCUCUCACUCUCAUUUUUUUGAAACUGAGAGGACAUUAGUAAGGAAGAAUAGGGGUUUUAUACUUUGAGCGAAUUUGGUAGCUGAAGAAUUAGGGUUUUAUAUUUUGUUGAUUUUGUUGUGAUAUAUUUCAGGUUGAUUUUGUUGAUUUUGAAAGUGUAGACUCAGAAUGGAUAGUUGAUUUUGUUGUGCUAUAUUUCAGGUUGAUUUUGUUGAUUUUAGGUUGAUUUUGUUGUGCUAUAUUUCAGGUUGAUUUUGUUGAUUUCAGGUUGAUUUUGUUGUGCUAUAUUUCAGGUUCAUUUUAUUGAUUUUGUUGAUUUUGAAAGUGUAGACUCAGAAGGGGUUUACUCAAGCAUCGUUCGUUUAGUUUUGAUUGAAAGACAGAAAUUAGAGUAUCUGCCUAGAAACUGGACAGUUCUUGAAGAGAGAGAACCUAAGGACUGAUGUUCACUUAUGGUGAAUUGUAAAAUCUCAAGAAUUCAAGUUCCUUAGCUCAAUUUCUCGUGGUGUAAUUUGCAGUGAUGUCUUCUCAUGAUUCAGUAAGCACGGUGUUCAAAUGUAUGCAAAACGGAGCCGUUGAUUUUCUCAUUAAACCUGUUCGCAGGAAUGAGCUAAGGAACUUGUGGCAGCAUGUGUGGAGAAGACAUACUAUUAGCAAGCCUCCUCAAAAUAUAACAUUGGCACAUGAUAAACUUGAUGUUGCUGAAGAAAACAAUACCGCAAGUAAUAAUUCUAGUGGUUCUGUAGCUUCCACGCAGAAAAUCGAGUGCAGUGGAAAAAAUAGUGAGACUCCAGCUCAAGUAAGUUCUGCUUCUGUAAGCCAUUAAAAAAUCACUGAAACAAUUUAAUAUUAUUGUUAGAUAAAAAGGUUUCAGCGUGUUAAUUGUGAAAUAGAAGUUACCUUGUAUAUGAGCUGAUUUCAUUACUAAUGUUCUAUCUACACUUUCAACAUUAGGCUUGAGUAACGUAAAAAGACAUACAACUACCGUUUGUAAACAAUGCAUAUAUGAAGCCACUCUCUUGUAAACUAGAUGAAAAUUUUACUGUACAAUCCCUUCUAUGGUAGUUAUACCCAAUGUGUAGAAAAAUACAUUGAAUCCUUAUAGUCACCAUCAUAUCUGAGUCUCAGCAUCAAAAUUUUAACAAGUUUCCAAAAGGCAUUAUGAUAGCCACAAUCAUGUGUAUCAAAACUCUUUGAUAUGUGACUUGCCAUAUCUCAUUUGGUGAACUAGUGUCUCAGAUUGCCCAAUCUCACUGGCAGCCUUUUUAUUCUUGUCCUUGACCAGACGAGCUUUGCACACAGCUUGUUGGAUUUGUCUUUCAUGCUCCUUGAGGAUCUCUUCAAAAUUAGCCUCUGGAGGCAGUAGGGGCCCAGAAUAGUUUAUGUGCCCAUUUUUGGGAGCAUUACCCUGCAAUCACAAAUAAAAGCAAGUCAUUACUAGAGAAUUCCAGUCAGUCACAGUGAGCAUAAAAACUAUUAAAGAAAAAAGGAACAGUCUCCGGAAUGGUAAUAAAAAUUGUUCCAUUACGUAGCGCCAAGACUUCUGGUGAUACUGUGAAUGAGAAGAUUUUCCUUAGCAGGAGAGUUUGCAAAGCUGAGAAUAAUAACUUGGCGCUAUAGCUGUGUAGGGUAGUGAAAUUUAAACAGACCGUAAUUUCCUACGAUCCACAAUUGGCAACUCCGUGGAUAAGUGAUUACAAAAGACUCGAUAGUAUUAGAAAUGAAAUCGCUAGAGAUAAAAUUGGGGUACAUUUUAGUGUAGAAAAGGUAGCAGUUUAUUGUCUUAUGUGGUUUGAGCAUAUGGAUAGAAGAGUUGUAAAACUAUUGAGCUUCAAAUUGGCCUCAAGAACUACGAUCCACAAAAGGAUAAACAUUUCAGCGGCUCCAUCAAGUUGCCUCACAUCCCUCGCCCUAAGAUGAAGAUUUGUAUGCUUGGAGAUGCCCAACACGUUGAAGAGGUAUACAUCU